rnacentral:rRNA from 1 species
ACUCCUACGGGAGGCAGCAGUGGGGAAUAUUGCACAAUGGGGGAAACCCUGAUGCAGCCAUGCCGCGUGUGUGAAGAAGGCCUUCGGGUUGUAAAGCACUUUCAGUAGGGAGGAAGGUAGUGUAGUUAACACCUGCAUUAUUUGUACGUUACCUACAGAAGAAGCACCGGCUAACUCCGUGCCAGCAGCCGCGGUAAUACGGAGGGUGCGAGCGUUAAUCGGAAUUACUGGGCGUAAAGCGCAUGCAGGCGGCCUGUUAAGUCAGAUGUGAAAGCCCGGGGCUUAACCGUCGGAAUUGCAUUUGAAACUGGCAGGCUAGAGUCUUGUAGAGGGGUUAGAAUUUCAGGUGUAGCGGUGAAAUGCGUAGAGAUCUGAAGGAAUACCAGU